GAGUCUGCCUUGAAGAUCGGAGUGCUUGCACUCUGUGAAACAANAUACAGGCUAGCGGCGGACGGGUGAGUAACACGUGGGUAACCUGCCCAAGAGAUCGGGAUAACACCUGGAAACAGAUGCUAAUACCGGAUAACAACAGAUGAUGCCUAUCAACUGUUUAAAAGAUGGUUCUGCUAUCACUCUUGGAUGGACCUGCGGUGCAUUAGCUAGUUGGUAGGGUAACGGCCUACCAAGGCGAUGAUGCAUAGCCGAGUUGAGAGACUGAUCGGCCACAUUGGGACUGAGACACGGCCCAAACUCCUACGGGAGGCAGCAGUAGGGAAUCUUCCACAAUGGACGCAAGUCUGAUGGAGCAACGCCGCGUGAGUGAAGAAGGGUUUCGGCUCGUAAAGCUCUGUUGUUGGUGAAGAAGGACAGGGGUAGUAACUGACCUUUGUUUGACGGUAAUCAAUUAGAAAGUCACGGCUAACUACGUGCCAGCAGCCGCGGUAAUACGUAGGUGGCAAGCGUUGUCCGGAUUUAUUGGGCGUAAAGCGAGUGCAGGCGGCUCGAUAAGUCUGAUGUGAAAGCCUUCGGCUCAACCGGAGAAUUGCAUCAGAAACUGUCGAGCUUGAGUACAGAAGAGGAGAGUGGUACUCCAUGUGUAGCGGUGAANNNCGUAGAUAUAUGGAAGAACACCGGUGGCGAAGGCGGCUCUCUGGUCUGUUACU
rnacentral:rRNA from 1 species